AGCGCCCCGCAAGGGGAGCGGCAGACGGGUGAGUAACGCGUGGGAAUCUACCCAUCCCUACGGAAUAGCUCCGGGAAACUGGAAUUAAUACCGUAUACGCCCUACGGGGGAAAGAUUUAUCGGGGAUGGAUGAGCCCGCGUUGGAUUAGCUAGUUGGUGGGGUAAAGGCCUACCAAGGCGACGAUCCAUAGCUGGUCUGAGAGGAUGAUCAGCCACAUUGGGACUGAGACACGGCCCAAACUCCUACGGGAGGCAGCAGUGGGGAAUAUUGGACAAUGGGGGCAACCCUGAUCCAGCCAUGCCGCGUGAGUGAUGAAGGCCUUAGGGUUGUAAAGCUCUUUCACCGGGGAAGAUAAUGACGGUACCCGGAGAAGAAGCCCCGGCUAACUUCGUGCCAGCAGCCGCGGUAAUACGAAGGGGGCUAGCGUUGUUCGGAAUUACUGGGCGUAAAGCGCACGUAGGCGGACAUUUAAGUCAGGGGUGAAAUCCCGGGGCUCAACCUCGGAACUGCCUUUGAUACUGGGUGUCUUGAGUAUGGAAGAGGUAAGUGGAAUUGCGAGUGUAGAGGUGAAAUUCGUAGAUAUUCGCAGGAACACCAGUGGCGAAGGCGGCUUACUGGUCCAUUACUGACGC
rnacentral:rRNA from 1 species